UCAUUGCUGUUGUGUACAGACCUCCUGACUACAGUUUGACACCGUUCAUGCAAAACCUGCACAGCCUACAUUCAGGUGUCCUGAGAACAUAUUACAGUUACCACAACCCUGUGUUUUGUGUCCUGUCCUCAAGUCAAUCAUGAAGUCGUCUGGUGAGUUUUGAAACAAUUACAGAUCAUGUUUGUUACAGAGUUUACUGAUUGUAGAGCAUGAAAAAGAUUUUUUGUUGAUAAUGGAAGGCAAAAAUUUGUUUCCCUGCUCUGUCUGUAAGAAGACCAUCCUUCAAUUUAUCAAACCUUUCUCAUUGCAAUGUUAUUAAUCAUUUCACCAAAUCAUGGCUGUACUUCAUGCAGAGCAGGGAGAUCUGCCUUCUGUUAUCAUGCACCUCUGAUCUGAAAUGUGCUGCAAAAAGUAUUAAACAGACAU